rnacentral:tRNA from 1 species
CGCAGUGUGGAGAAGUGGUAUCUCGCCGGGCUCAUAAUCCGGAGAUCGCGGGUUCGAAUCCCGCCACUGCCA